UACGAAGGGAGCUAGCGUUGUUCAGAAUUACUGGGCGUAAAGGGCGCGUAGGCGGUCCUUCAAGUCAGAUGUGAAAGCCCUGGGCUUAACCUAGGAGGUGCAUUUGAUACUGAUGGACUUGAGAUCGAGAGAGGAGAGUGGAAUUGCGAGUGUAGAGGUGAAAUUCGUAGAUAUUCGCAAGAACACCGGUGGCGAAGGCGACUCUCUGGCUCGAUACUGACGCUAAGGCGCGAAAGCGUGGGGAGCAAACAGG
rnacentral:rRNA from 1 species